rnacentral:rRNA from 1 species
UUUGUUGGGUCUAGAUAAAAUCCUCGGGCUCAACCUGAGAAAGAUCUUUUAGACCAAUUGACUAGAGUUUAGUUGAGUAAGAUGGUACACUCAAUGUAGAGGUGAAAUUCGCAAAAAUUGUGGGACCACCGACCGGCGAAGGCGAUCUUACAACUAUGAACUGACGCUAAGGUGACAAAAGCGUAGGGAGCAAGCGAGAUUAGAGACCUCGUUAGUCUACGCCCUGACCGAUGAGUAUUAAAUGUAUAAUUUUUAAUAAUGUUUUACAUUUUAGCUAACGCGUAAAUACUCCGCCUAGGAAUUACAACCGCAAGGUUCAAACUUAAAGGAAUUGACGGAGGGUUAUCACAGCGGUGGAGCAUGUGGUUUAAUCUGAUAUACCGCAUAGAAUCUUACCAGUUUUCGGAUCGCAAAUUUUUGACUUCAAUGAAAAUUGUUAGAAUUGGUUCUAUUUUUUAUGGAAAAAUUAUAGUAGAAUUUGUACAGG